ensembl:piRNA 21ur-4901 ncRNA
UCGUAUCGUUUUACUUACAAU